AAGUCGUAACAAGGUUUCCGUAGUGAACCUGCGGAAGGAUCAUUAAUGAAACUUCAAGUCGGCCGUCCCGCGCUGGUGGUGACACAUGUGCACGUUCGGUCGCAAUCCACACACCUGUGCACUUUGACUCUGAGUACCGCCAGUGACAUGGCAGAAGGUCGUUGGACUUUGGUGUCCCGACCCGGCACUCGAGUACUUUUACACACUCUGAAUGUAACGGAAUGUCACUGUACAAUGUACAACCGUAAACAACUUUCAACAACGGAUCUCUUGGCUCUCGCAUCGAUGAAGAACGCAGCGAAAUGCGAUAAGUAAUGUGAAUUGCAGAAUUCAGUGAAUCAUCGAAUCUUCGAAUGCGCCUUGCACCCUUUGGUAUUCCGAAGGGUACGCCCGUUUGAGUGUCAUUGUAAUCUCACUUCGACCGCUUUUUGUGGUCGGACGUGGACCUGGAUGUUGUCGUGUGAACGACUCGUCUCAAAUGCCUGAGUGUACCCUGCUUUGCGGUGUAUCAGUGUGAUAAACAUCUUCACUGUUCAGUCUUCGGACGCACCGGCCUCGUGGGCUCUAUGCUUCCAACCGUCUCGGGACAAUCUCUGACAAUUUGACCUCAAAUCGGGCGGGACUACCCGCUGAACUUAA
rnacentral:rRNA from 1 species